rnacentral:rRNA from 1 species
UACGUAGGGUGCGAGCGUUAAUCGGAAUUACUGGGCGUAAAGCGUGCGCAGGCGGUUUUGUAAGCCAGAUGUGAAAUCCCCGGGCUUAACCUGGGAAUGGCAUUUGGGACUGCAAGGCUUGAGUGCGGCAGAGGAGACUGGAAUUCCUGGUGUAGCAGUGAAAUGCGUAGAUAUCAGGAGGAAUACCGAUGGCGAAGGCAGCCCCCUGGGAUAACACUGACGCUCAUGCACGAAAGCGUGGGGAGCAAACAGG